rnacentral:lncRNA from 1 species
CUCCCAAACCCUGGGAGUGCCAGAGCCCUCUGGGGUCAGUAGGGCCCCUGUGGGAAGCAGCUGUCACAUUCCUCACGGGUUCACGUCUUGCCAGGGCCAGCACAGCAGUUAUUGCAAACACUUUUUCAAAGAUCUGUCAGGAAUUUGAGAAGGAUUUAAACACCAUGAAGAAAAAGAGUUUGCUGUGAAAUUUGUGGAGGGAAGAGCAAUAAAAAGUCAACAUCUCCCAGCGGGACAGGACGAGUGCGCUGCUAUUUCCCGAAAGGCGCUCAGGAAGGGCCCUGCCUCCGGGUGGGGAGGAGAGGCGGGCAGCCUGGACUUAACCAGAGCCUGCCAGUUGCUCGUGUUUAUUGAGGGCCAUCUGCUCUCAGGGCCCUCAAUCUUGUACUCGGUCUAUUUGGAAAAGGAUUUAAAGGGCAAAGAAAAUAAUAUCUUCAUCUACUAUUCGGGCUUUUCCAGGACAAUACUGAUUUCAAAUAUUUUAUCCUCCUGUCGCCUUAAGCUAUCACAAAUGUUUUAGAAAUCCCAACUUCGUAGUGUCUAAAUGGAAUUUUCAGAAUUGCCUGUAAACCUCUUACCUUCUGCAGCACAAAAUCCUUUCUCUGAACACACAUCUCAGAUUUUUGGCUGGGAUAAUACAGUCAUCAUAGAAUACUGAACAGAAGGAAUUUCAAGGAAGGCAAUUUAAAGUUAGAGGGAAGAGCAGUAAAUGUAAAACUAUAAACAAAUAAAAAUGAAAUAAUAGCUCGUUCUUAUUGAGAGAUUUAGUGCCGUGCUUAUGGUUGUGGAUACUGAAGCCAGUCUCUCUGGGUUCAUAUCCCAGCUUUGAUACUUACUAGCUGUGUGACCUGGACAAGCCAGUUAACCUCUCUGUGCCUCAGUUUCCUCAUCCACUAAAAUGUGGAGAAUGGUACAGGGUUAUGAGGGUUUCGUGAGG